rnacentral:lncRNA from 1 species
UCAAUUCCAAUUUUAUUUUAUUUUAUUUUACUUCUCUCAAUCUCUUCAUCGUUGAGUGUUGAAAGUUUCUCCGUCAAUCUUUUCCGCAUUCGUAUUUGUAGGAGGAGUUUCAAUUGUAUUUUUGGGAUAGUGUUUCUGGCCGUAUGAAGGACGGAAAUACGACUUAGAGCAGUGUUUUGCAUGCUUUCGGAUCGAUCUAAUUUCUUUUUACUUCUUCAUCAAUUUCUGAAAUUUCUGUUGCGUUUAACUAUGAGUUUGUUAGAUAAAGUCACAAAGUUGUCGGAUAAAAGCACAAUUAGAUUUUUAGUACAGGUUAUUCC